CUACGUGCCAGCAGCCGCGGUAAUACGUAGGGUGCAAGCGUUAAUCGGAAUUACUGGGCGUAAAGCGUACGCAGGCGGUUCGCUAAGACAGAUGUGAAAUCCCCGGGCUUAACCUGGGAACUGCAUUUGUGACUGGCGGGCUAGAGUAUGGCAGAGGGGGGUAGAAUUCCACGUGUAGCAGUGAAAUGCGUAGAGAUGUGGAGGAAUACCGAUGGCGAAGGCAGCCCCCUGGGCCAAUACUGACGCUCAUGCACGAAAGCGUGGGGAGCAAACAGGAUUAGAUACCCUGGUAGUCCACGCCCUAAACGAUGUCAACUAGUUGUCGGGUCGACAUUGACUUGGUAAC
rnacentral:rRNA from 1 species